rnacentral:pre_miRNA from 1 species
GGUGGAAUUGCUGGGUCAUAUUGUAAGUCUAUACUUAACCCUUUGAGGACUUGCCAAAUUGUUUUCCAAGCAACUAUACCAUUUCACAUUCCCACUGGCAAA